UACGUAGGGUGCGAGCGUUGUCCGGAAUUAUUGGGCGUAAAGAGCUCGUAGGCGGUCUGUCGCGUCGGUCGUGAAAACUUGGGGCUUAACCCUGAGCUUGCGGUCGAUACGGGCAUGACUGGAGUUCGGUAGGGGAGACUGGAAUUCCUGGUGUAGCGGUGAAAUGCGCAGAUAUCGGGAGGAACACCGGUGGCGAAGGCGGUUCUCUGGGCCUGUACUGACGCUGAGGAGCGAAAGCGUGGGGAGCGAACAGG
rnacentral:rRNA from 1 species